UAGUUGCCCAUCAAUCGCUCAGUAGUCAGUGUAGAUUCUGUUUUUACAAUCAGCAGCUACAUCUGGCUACUGGGUCUCUGAUGACAUCUUGUAG
rnacentral:ncRNA from 2 species